rnacentral:rRNA from 1 species
GAUGAACGCUGGCGGCGUGCCUAAUACAUGCAAGUCGAGCGAACGGACGAGGAGCUUGCUUUUCUGAUGUUAGCGGCGGACGGGUGAGUAACACGUGGAUAACCUACCUAUAAGACUGGGAUAACUUCGGGAAACCGGAGCUAAUACCGGAUAAUAUUUUGAACCGCAUGGUUCAAAAGUGAAAGACGGUGUUGCUGUCACUUGUAGAUGGAUCCGCGCUGCAUUAGCUAGUUGGUAAGGUAACGGCUUACCAAGGCAACGAUGCAUAGCCGACCUGAGAGGGUGAUCGGCCACACUGGAACUGAGACACGGUCCAAACUCCUACGGGAGGCAGCAGUAGGGAAUCUUCCGCAAUGGGCGAAAGCCUGACGGAGCAACGCCGCGUGAGUGAUGAAGGUCUUCGGAUCGUAAAACUCUGUUAUUAGGGAAGAACAAGUGUGUAAGUAACUGUGCGCAUCUUGACGGUACCUAAUCAGAAAGCCACGGCUAACUACGUG